rnacentral:tRNA from 1 species
ACCUGGUUGGCUCAGUCAGUUAAGCAUCUGACUUCAGCUCAGGUCAUGAUCUCACAGUUUGUGGGUUCAAGCCCUGCAUCAGGCU